rnacentral:rRNA from 1 species
AUUGAACGCUGGCGGCAGGCCUAACACAUGCAAGUCGAACGGUAACAGGAAACAGCUUGCUGUUUCGCUGACGAGUGGCGGACGGGUGAGUAAUGUCUGGGAAACUGCCUGAUGGAGGGGGAUAACUACUGGAAACGGUAGCUAAUACCGCAUAACGUCGCAAGACCAAAGAGGGGGACCUUCGGGCCUCUUGCCAUCGGAUGUGCCCAGAUGGGAUUAGCUAGUAGGUGGGGUAACGGCUCACCUAGGCGACGAUCCCUAGCUGGUCUGAGAGGAUGACCAGCCACACUGGAACUGAGACACGGUCCAGACUCCUACGGGAGGCAGCAGUGGGGAAUAUUGCACAAUGGGCGCAAGCCUGAUGCAGCCAUGCCGCGUGUAUGAAGAAGGCCCUCGGGUUGUAAAGUACUUUCAGCGGGGAGGAAGGGAGUAAAGUUAAUACCUUUGCUCAUUGACGUUACCCGCAGAAGAAGCACCGGCUAACUCCGUGCCAGCCGCCGCCGUAC